rnacentral:lncRNA from 1 species
CUGCGCCUUCGGGCUGCGGUGUCCCCUCCGUGGGACAGGGGAUGCGUGUCCCGCACCCCACGCCCCCGGCAGGGUCACGCGUGGCUGCGGCAGCCCGGGCUGCAGAGGGUUAACGCGCCGCGUCAGGAAGUUUCCAAGAAACGGCUGAUUUGUUAAAAUUUUAAAAAUAACGAGAAGCGGCUGCCGGGCCGAGCGGGACUUUCCUGGCGGGAUGUGAUGCGGGGCCCGCGGCUCCCGUUCCCCCUGCCCCUGAGGAUGCUCCAUCCCCAAAUGGGGGCCGGCACCCCCGGGACCCCCACCUGGGUUCCUCCUGGUUCCAGCAGCAUGGCCCCAGGCAGGUGGAGGAAGCAGAGCCUUGCCGCAGAAAGCCAGCCCGGGGAAGCCCAGCAGUGGGAAAUGAAGCCAAACAAGGGCAGGGGAUCCAGCGGGAGCUAAGGGAGGUGUGUGUGGGCUGGAGGACGACGUGAGCGCCCGAGCACCCCAAGCUUCUUCUGCCUGGCUGUGCCAGAGCCAGCGUGACUGCUCCACGGGGUUAAUGGUCCCUAUUAGAGGAGAUAAGGAGUCUGCUGAGCAGUAAAACCUUCUGAGAAAGCCAGCUUCCUCAUUCCUGACCAGAAAGGGAGAUGUGUUUAGAGGAAAACAGCAGCAGAACAAAUCAAUUGGUUACAAACAGCCAGGCCUCGGGGCCAGGCGGACACCUCGGGGGACCUGCAGGGCUUCGGUGUGGGCUCGGAGCAAACGCUUCCACCCUGGGGACCGCAGUGUAAUGAAUGAGCGACGCGAGUGCCAGGGAUUAGCCAGGAUUUAGGGGCCUGGGGGACCUGGCCAAUUUGGUUUAAUUGAUCAUUAGAAGCAGCAUUAAUCCCCAGGAAAAUCAGUGUGGGAAAGCCAGGCACCGGGGAGGACUUUGCUGGGGCUUGCGGGAGGACAGAAGGCAGCUCCUGCCCUGUUUCCCCCGGCCACCCCCCCCUCAGGCCUUUUGCUGACACAGCCAGCGGCGUCAUGGUGCCACCCCCUCCGCCGCCACCCAAAAUCAGGAGACACCCCCGGCGCCCGGCCCUCCUCCCUGCC